AGCGGAGGAAAAGAAACCAACAGGGAUUGCCUUAGUAACGGCGAGUGAAGCGGCAGCAGCUCAAAUUUGAAAUCUGGCUCCUUCGGGGCCCGAGUUGUAAUUUGUAGAGGAUGCUUCGGCGUGGUCCCAGGUCUAAGUUCCUUGGAACAGGACGUCACAGAGGGUGAGAAUCCCGUACGUGGCCGUGGGUACCCGCCAUGUGAAGCUCCUUCGACGAGUCGAGUUGUUUGGGAAUGCAGCUCUAAAUGGGAGGUAAAUUUCUUCUAAAGCUAAAUACUGGCCAGAGACCGAUAGCGCACAAGUAGAGUGAUCGAAAGAUGAAAAGCACUUUGGAAAGAGAGUCAAAAAGUACGUGAAAUUGUUGAAAGGGAAGCGCUUGCAACCAGACCUGCCUGCGGUUGCUCAUCCGGGCUCUUGCCCGGUGCACUCUUCCGCAGUCAGGCCAGCAUCAGUUCUGGCGGUCGGAUAAAGGCGGCGGGAAUGUGGCUCCCCUCGGGGAGUGUUAUAGCCCGUCGUGUAAUGCGGCCAGCCGGGACUGAGGUCCGCGCUUCGGCUAGGAUGCUGGCGUAAUGGUUGUAAGCGGCCCGUCUUGAAACACGGACCAAGGAGUCUAACAUCUGUGCGAGUGUUUGGGUGUCAAGCCCAGGCGCGUAAUGAAAGUGAACGGAGGCGGGAACCUUCGGGUGCACCGUCGACCGAUCCUGAUGUCUUCGGAUGGAUUUGAGUAAGAGCAUAGCUGUUGGGACCCGAAAGAUGGUGAACUAUGCCUGAAUAGGGUGAAGCCAGAGGAAACUCUGGUGGAGGCUCGCAGCGGUUCUGACGUGCAAAUCGAUCGUCAAAUUUGGGCAUAGGG
rnacentral:rRNA from 1 species